GGUUUGAUCAUGGUCAGAUUGAAUGCUAUGGGAUGCUUUACACAUGCAAGUCGAACGGCAGCACGACCCCUGGUCUGGUGGCGAGUGGCGAACGGUGAGUAAUGUAUCGGAACGUGCCUAGUAGCGGGGAUAACUACGCGAAAGCGGUGAAGCACAUCGCACACCGGGGAAAGCGGGGACUCCGGGCCUCGCACUAUUAGAGCGGCCGAUAUCGGACACAGUUGGUGGGGUAACGGCUCACCAAGGCGACGAUCCAGCAGCUGGUUUGAGAGGACGACCAGCCACACUGUGGGACCGAGACACGGCCCAGACUCCUACGGAGGCAGCAGUGGGGAAUUUUGGACAAUGGGGAAACCCUGAUCCAGCCAUCCCGCGUGUGCGAUGAAGGCCUCGGGUUGUAAAGCACUUUUGGCAGGAAAGUUAACGGGCACGGAUACUCCCGUGCAACUGACGGUACCUACAGAAUAAGCACCGCCAACUACGUGCUGGUGCAGCCGCGGUACGUAGGGUGCAAGCGUUGACCCGAAUUACUGGGCGCAAAGCGCGCAGGCGGUUCGAAAGAAAGAUGAAAUCCCAGAGCUUAACUUCGGGAACUGCAUUUUUAACUACUGAGCUAGAGUGUGUCAGAGGGAGGAAUUCGCGUGUAGCAGCGAAUGCAGAUAUGCGGAGGAACACCGAUGGCGACAGCCUCUGGGAUAACACUGACGCUCAUGCACGAAAGCGGGAGCAACAGGAUUAGAUACUCCGCAGUCCACGCCCUAAACGAUGUCAACUAGCUGUUAGCCUUCGGCCUCGGUAGCGCAGCUAACGUAAGUGAAGCCGGACCGCCUUGGGAGGCGGUCAAGAUUAAAAUCAAAGGAAUUGACGGGGACCCGCACAAGCGGUGGAUGAUGUGGACACUCGAUGCAACGCGAAAACCUUACUCUACCUGACAUGUCUGGAAUCCCGAAGAGAUCGGGAGCCAAAGAGAACCGAACACAGGUGCUGCCGCAUGGCUGUCGUCAGCUCGUGUCGCAGAUGUUGUUAAGUCCUGCAACGAGCGCAACCCUUUGUCAUUAGUUGCUACGAAAGGCACUCAAUGAGACUGCCGGUGACAAACCGGAUGAAGCAGGUGGGGAUGACGUCAAGUCCUCAUGGCCCUUAUGGGUAGGGCUUCGCCACACGUCAUACAAUGGUCGGACAGAGGGUCGCCAACCCGGCGAGGGGGAGCCAAUCCCAGAAACCCGAUCGUAGUCCGGAUCGCAGUCUGCACCCGACUGCGUGAAGUCGGAAUCGCCACCGUGGAUCAGCAUGUCGCGGUGAAUAUUGUUCCUGGCCCGGUACACCGCCCGUCACACCAUGGGAGUGGGUUUUACUUCAGAAGUAGUUAGCUCAACCGUAUGAGGGCGAUUACCACGGUAGGAUUCAUGACUGGGGUGAAGUCGAAUAAGGUAG
rnacentral:rRNA from 1 species